rnacentral:rRNA from 1 species
GAAUUCACUAGUGAUUACGGGGUGCAGCAGGCGCGAAACCUCUGCAAUAGGCGAAAGCUUGACAGGGUUACUCUGAGUGAUUUCCGCUAAGGAAAUCUUUUGGCACCUCUAAAAAUGGUGCAGAAUAAGGGGUGGGCAAGCCUGGUGUCAGCCGCCGCGGUAAUGCCAGCACCCCGAGUGGUCGGGACGAUUAUUGGGCCUAAAGCAUCCGUAGCCGGUUCUACAAGUCUUCCGUUAAAUCCACCUGCUUAACAGAUGGGCUGCGGAGGAUACUAUGGAGCUAGGAGGCGGGAGAGGCAAGCGGUACUUAGUGGGUAGGGGUAAAAUCCGUUGAUCCAUUGAAGACCACCAGUGGCGAAGGCGGCUUGCCAGAACGCGCUCGACGGUGAGGGAUGAAAGCUGGGGGAGCAAACCGGAUUAGAUACCCGGGUAGUCCCAGCUGUAAACGAUGCAGACUCGGUGAUGAGUUGGCUUAUUGCUAACUCAGUGCCGCAGGGAAGCCGUUAAGUUUGCCGCCUGGGGAGUACGGUCGCAAGACUGGAACUUAAAGGAAUUGGCGGGGGAGCACAA